UCGACGAUGAUCCCAGCUUGCUGGGGGAUUAGUGGCGAACGGGUGAGUAACACGUGAGUAACCUGCCCUUAACUCUGGGAUAAGCCUGGGAAACUGGGUCUAAUACCGGAUAUGACUCCUCAUCGCAUGGUGGGGGGUGGAAAGCUUUAUUGUGGUUUUGGAUGGACUCGCGGCCUAUCAGCUUGUUGGUGAGGUAAUGGCUCACCAAGGCGACGACGGGUAGCCGGCCUGAGAGGGUGACCGGCCACACUGGGACUGAGACACGGCCCAGACUCCUACGGGAGGCAGCAGUGGGGAAUAUUGCACAAUGGGCGAAAGCCUGAUGCAGCGACGCCGCGUGAGGGAUGACGGCCUUCGGGUUGUAAACCUCUUUCAGUAGGGAAGAAGCGAAAGUGACGGUACCUGCAGAAGAAGCGCCGGCUAACUACGUGCCAGCAGCCGCGGUAAUACGUAGGGCGCAAGCGUUAUCCGGAAUUAUUGGGCGUAAAGAGCUCGUAGGCGGUUUGUCGCGUCUGCCGUGAAAGUCCGGGGCUCAACUCCGGAUCUGCGGUGGGUACGGGCAGACUAGAGUGAUGUAGGGGAGACUGGAAUUCCUGGUGUAGCGGUGAAAUGCGCAGAUAUCAGGAGGAACACCGAUGGCGAAGGCAGGUCUCUGGGCAUUAACUGACGCUGAGGAGCGAAAGCAUGGGGAGCGAACAGGAUUAGAUACCCUGGUAGUCCAUG
rnacentral:rRNA from 1 species